rnacentral:rRNA from 1 species
ACCGCUGCUAAUACCGGAUGUCCCCACCGAGUCGCAUGGCCUGGUGAGGAAAUGGAUUCCGCUUCGGGAGGGUCUCGCGGCCUAUCAGCUUGUUGGUGGGGUAACGGCCCACCAAGGCGACGACGGGUAGCUGGUCUGAGAGGACGAUCAGCCACACUGGGACUGAGACACGGCCCAGACUCCUACGGGAGGCAGCAGUGGGGAAUAUUGCGCAAUGGGCGAAAGCCUGACGCAGCAACGCCGCGUGAGGGAUGAAUGCCUUCGGGUUGUAAACCUCUCUCGAGCAGGGACGAUAAUGACGGUACCUGCAGAAGAAGCUCCGGCCAACUACGUGCCAGCAGCCGCGGUAAUACGUAGGGAGCGAGCGUUGUCCGGAUUCAUUGGGCGUAAAGAGCUCGUAGCGGCUUGAUAAGUCGGAUGUGAAACCUCCAGGCUCAACCUGGAAGUCGCCAUCCGAUACUGUCA